rnacentral:rRNA from 1 species
UACGUAGGAAGCAAGCGUUGUCCGGAAUCACUGGGCGUAAAGCGCGUGUAGGCGGAUGGGCAAGUCUGCUGUGAAAGCCCCUGGCUCAACCGGGGGAGGUCGGUGGAAACUGCUCGUCUGGAGGUCAGUAGAGGAAGAUGGAAUUCCCGGUGUAGUGGUGAAAUGCGUAGAGAUCGGGAGGAACACCUGAGGCGAAGGCGGUCUUCUGGGCUGCACCUGACGCUGAGACGCGAAGGCGCGGGGAGCGAACGGG